rnacentral:rRNA from 1 species
UACAGAGGGUGCAAGCGUUGUUCGGAAUUACUGGGCGUAAAGGGCUCGUAGGCGGCCAACUAAGUCAGACGUGAAAUCCCUCGGCUUAACCGGGGAACUGCAUCUGAUACUGGAUGGCUUGAGUUUGGGAGAGGGAUGCGGAAUUCCAGGUGUAGCGGUGAAAUGCGUAGAUAUCUGGAGGAACACCGGUGGCGAAGGCGGCAUCCUGGACCAACACUGACGCUGAGGAGCGAAAGCGUGGGGAGCGAACAGG